rnacentral:lncRNA from 1 species
CCCUGCUUCGUCUAACACGCCAAUUCCGAGCCUCCCGCACCAGUCUAGGCAAACGUCCGGCCACCCCUCUUCAUUAGCCAUGGAAAUGCAGCCACUGGCUUCGAGCAUCCGCUCCUCCACCUCGAUCUCCUGCUUGCCGGUGGGGUUCGGGUGUCCCCGCGUGUCCCUACGGUGAGUUCCCGCCGAUGAGCUGACGCUCUGACCCCUUCUUCCACCUCCCCUCCUCGCGGGAGCAAUGCGACAUGUGGCUGUUGCAGUGCACGGGCACUCGAGGUGCAGUGCAGCGUGCGUGUAGCCUAGCUGUAGGAGGGCAUGUGGUCAUCCACCUUCUUCUCCCUCGCAACCCCUGCCCAAUCCCCUGCAGUUCCCGACAUCCCGGCGAGCGCGCAUGAAGUAGUACGCCAGUGGUGCACCGCGCGGUGCGGGCGUUUAUUUGCUCCAUGUUUAUUUGCUGCAGUUAACUUUUGUUUUCUCGUUUUGCAGUGCAGAUUGUAUCGAUGCAGUGCACACAUGUACGAAGGAGAAAACAAGAAUAUCAUCGUUUUUUCUUUCUGAAGUCCAUUAUAUUGUUUGAGAAAACACAAAUAUGAUGCUCGAGUGUGAGAUGAGUUGUGUGUUAAUUUCUGUUGAGAGGUUUACUUUUGUUCAUGGAGAGGUUCGCUUUAUUUCCAUGGUGAAAAAUGCUAAGAAAACAAUGGACUUCGUUUUGUAAAUUUUCCUAGACCAAGAUGUAAUUUUUUUAAACUGAUGUAUUUCAUAUAUUGAUUUUUUUGGUGGUUUUGCUGUCUGAAAAACUAACAAGGUAGUUCACUACAUACAUGUUUUUCAUUUGCUCUCUAUAUCCAUGUUUUUCAUUUUUUGGAAAAGUAAUUUGUUGUGCACUCGGUAACGAAGGAGAAGAGUGCAUCGAUGUUCCUUUAAAAGAAGUUCAUUUUGUUGUUUGAGAAAAUGCAGAGUGGAAAUGAGAGUAAAAAAUGGAUGUGGAUGAAUGCUUGUGUGUAAUGUGUAGCGUGCAAACAAAAAAUGUAGUCCACUCGCGUCGUCCCCGUAGUGCAUAUUUCAUUAACCAAACAAAUGUAUGCAGUGCACUAGGGGGAAACUAAACUCUAG